CCUCCUAGGUUUCAGGUUAGGACAGUCUCCAAGGGACAUUCUCUCGCGAGAGCUGGAAGAACGCAACAUGGCAGCAACCGUCUUGUAGUAUGAAACCGCGUACUGCUGGUCACCUGUCUCAGUCUCUGGUGAGGCUGCUGAGGGGUCUGAGGUUUCCUUGUCUUCCCACUGGGCCCACUUCCUUCAGUUUCUCUGCGCCAUGGGGCGGAGUAUACUUGUGCACUGUUGCAGGCUGGUGUUGAAAAGACUACCAAACGGCAAAUUGGAGCAAGGCAAAACUUUAUUUACAGCAGGGCCAAACCUGAACUCCAGAUGCACCAGUGCUGAGCCUAAUCCUGUCAUCCGCCAAGCACAGCGGCCAUCAAGAAGCCUCUCAACAGUCCAGUCUGCUUCAGCCUAGGUCACAAGAAGUCCAGCCAAAAGUCCAGAGAGCCGUAUACCACAUCAUCAGAGGUCCUGCAUGGAAUAAUGUCUGCUGUGUAAUUUCCAUGAGAAGUACGAGCUGGAAAAGUUGCUGUUCAGAGAUCAGGAUCAAAAGAGAUUCUUCAGGAUAUUGGAAGAACAUGAACACCAGGAUCAUUUCUGCUUGUGACAUUUAAUUUGAGUCUUGGUGGGAAUUUCUGGCUCUAUCCAUGCUGAUUAGAGGGAGACAGAGCACAAGCAGAGGAGGAACAGAAAGAAGG